GCUGCAUAGGGUCUUCCCGUCUACCUGAAGCAAACCGCAUCUGCACGGCUAAUUCAAUUUCACUGAGCAAGUUGUAGAGACAGCGAGGCCAUCGUUAUACUAUUGAUACCSCUCCGACAAUUAUCCUCAUAAGUUAGACGAUAAGAGGAACCCCCUAAAAUUUAUUAAGUUCCUAUUAGUAAAGUUUAGGUAGGUGGCACAUAAUCGGAAGCCCCGACUGUUUACUAAAAACACAAUUCAGAGCAAUGAUUUAAAUCAUAGUAUUCUGGAUGAAAUUUGCCCAAUGCCAUUAACAUAAGAAAGGUAAUAGGAAACUGUUACUGAUUGAAAGUCUGGUUAAUAGCGGUCUUAACUAUGAGGAUCCAAAGGUAGCAUAAUAGAUUGGCCAUUAAAUGUGGUCUUGUAUCAAUAGUGUAACGAUGGCUUCACUGUCUCUACAACUUGCUCAGUGAAAUUGAAUUACCCGUGCAGAUGCGGGUUGCCUCCAGGUGGACGGGAAGACCCUAUGCAGCUUU
rnacentral:rRNA from 1 species